rnacentral:rRNA from 1 species
GACGAACGCUGGCGGCGUGCUUAACACAUGCAAGUCGAACGGAAAGGCCCUGCUUUUGUGGGGUGCUCGAGUGGCGAACGGGUGAGUAACACGUGAGUAACCUGCCCUUGACUUUGGGAUAACUUCAGGAAACUGGGGCUAAUACCGGAUAGGAGCUCCUGCUGCAUGGUGGGGGUUGGAAAGUUUCGGCGGUUGGGGAUGGACUCGCGGCUUAUCAGCUUGUUGGUGGGGUAGUGGCUUACCAAGGCUUUGACGGGUAGCCGGCCUGAGAGGGUGACCGGCCACAUUGGGACUGCGAUACGGCCCAGACUCCUACGGGAGGCAGCAGUGGGGAAUAUUGCACAAUGGGCGGAAGCCUGAUGCAGCAACGCCGCGUGCGGGAUGACGGCCUUCGGGUUGUAAACCGCUUUAGCCUGUGACGAAGCGUGAGUGACGGUACUGGGUAAAGAAGCACCGGCUAACUACGUG